GAUGAAGAACGUAGCGAAAUGCGAUAAGUAAUUUGAAUUGCAGAAUUCAGUGAAUCAUCGAAUCUUUGAACGCACAUUGCGCCCGUCAGUAUUCUGGCGGGCAUGCCUGUUCGAGCGUCAUUACGCCCCUCAAGUCCCCUGUGGACUUGGUGUUGGGGAUCGGCGAGGCUGGUUUUCCAGCACAGCCGUCCCUUAAAUUAAUUGGCGGUCUCGCCGUGGCCCUCCUCUGCGCAGUAGUAAAACACUCGCAACAGGAGCCCGGCGCGGUCCACUGCCGUAAAACCCCCCAACUUUUUAUAGUUGACCUCGAAUCAGGUAGGACUACCCGCUGAACUUAAGCAUAUCAAUAAGCGGAGGA
rnacentral:misc_RNA from 1 species